UGAGCUUCUAUUUCACAGAGCUGGGCGAUAAGGAUUACGAUUACUAAAUGAUUAGGAUUGCAGUAAUCCCAACAAGGUAAUAAAACAAGAUUACGAUUACAG